UACGUAGGGGCCUAGCGUUGUUCGGAAUUACUGGGCGUAAAGGGCUCGUAGGCGGCCAACUAAGUCAGACGUGAAAUCCCUCAGCUUAACUGGGGAACUGCGUCUGAUACUGGAUGGCUUGGAUUCGGGAGAGGAAUGCGGAAUUCCAGGUGUAGCGGUGAAAUGCGUAGAUAUCUGGAGGAACACCGGUGGCGAAGGCGGCAUUCUGGACCGACAUUGACGCUGAGGAGCGAAAGCCAGGGGAGCAAACGGG
rnacentral:rRNA from 1 species